UACGUAGGGCGCAAGCGUUGUCCGGAAUUAUUGGGCGUAAAGGGCUCGUAGGCGGUCUGUCGCGUCGGGAGUGAAAACUCAGGGCUUAACCCUGAGCCUGCUUCCGAUACGGGCAGACUAGAGGUAUGCAGGGGAGAACGGAAUUCCUGGUGUAGCGGUGGAAUGCGCAGAUAUCAGGAGGAACACCGGUGGCGAAGGCGGUUCUCUGGGCAUUACCUGACGCUGAGGCGCGAAGGCGUGGGGAGCGAACGGG
rnacentral:rRNA from 1 species